rnacentral:lncRNA from 1 species
GCAGCCACUUCCGAGACGACGAAAAGAACUGCAAAGAGACCAAACAGAACCAAAGCCUUGGAAGCCAUUUUGUUUUUUUUCAACUUCUUAUAACUCUUUUAGUAUGUUAAAACAAGUGAUGGAUAUAAAAAGUUACAUGCAUGGCUUCUAUUUAUAGGAAACGAAGAGGGGCGAAUGAGAAAAGUCAAACAAUCUAAUCCAUUACAAGGGAGUUAAUUAGGUCGGGUCCGCUUAUGGUUGGAUGUUGGAUUCAUUGUAAAAU